rnacentral:rRNA from 1 species
AUGCGGUCGCCGCGACUCCGCCGCCAGCCGGCACUGGCGCCGUCGCGGGCUUCGGAUCCGGCGGAGCCCACGGAGGUCUUCCCCGUCGGCAAGGCGGUGGAGGUGCUCCCGGACGAGGGAGCCUACCGCGGGGCCCACCUCCCCGCCGUCGUCGCGCGCUUCGACCCCGGCCUCCGCAGCUACGCGGUCGAGUACGACGCCCUCGCCGUCUCGGGGGCCUCCGGCCGCGCUCUCCCGGAGACCGUGCCCGCGUCGCAGGUCCGCCCGCGCCCGCCGCCACCGUCGCCGGCGCCCCACGCGGAGCACGCGGCCGUGGACGCGCUCCGAGACGGCGCGUGGUGGCUCGGCGUCGCCCUCGUCGGCGGGGGCCGGGCGGACGGGAAGGUCGCGGUUCGCUUCCCGGCGACGAGGGAGGAGGCGGAGUUCGACUUGGCCGAUGUCCGGCCCCACCUCGAGUGGGUCGCCGGCGAGUGGCGCUCCCCCGAGGACAUGGAGACAUCCAAGAGAACGCUGUAUGCUAAAGGAACACAAAUAGAAGUUGCCAGGUUGGAAGCUGAUUCUGUUGUCGCUUGGUUCCCUGCAAUUGUUGCAAAGACUAUCUGGAAAAAUAACCUCUUGGUGGAGUACCCUUUCUGGAAGGGCAGUGAACUGUGCAAUGAGAUUAUCGAUAUCAAGCAUAUCAGACCUUGCCCGCCACGUGCAUCAGUUAUUAGUUUCUGCGUCAAUGAUGAUGUUGAAGGCUUCCAAGAUGAUGGCUGGUGGCCAGGGAAGAUCACUGAGAUCCAUCCCAAGUUAACGUAUACAUUUAAGUCAGCAACUUCAGGAAAGAAGGUUCAGUUACACCAGAACACACUGAGGCUUCGAUAUGACUGGAUUGAUAACCAAUGGAAGCAGGUUGCACAGAAUCUGUCAGGAACAAAAUUCACAGGAGGCGACAGGGUUGAAGUGAGCAGCGACGAGGAAGGUUUCCACGGAGCAUGGUUCCAGGGGACGGUCGUCAAAUCCGUGGGACACAAGUUCCUUGUGGAGUACGAUGCGCUGAAGGACGAUGACGAGACCACGCCUCUGAAAGAAACCAUAGGGGAGGAGCACAUCAGGCCCUCUCCUCCGGCUAUUCCUGUCACCAAUGGUUUCAAGGUCCUUGACGAGAUCGACGCCUACACCAACGAUGGGUGGUGGGUCGGCGUGAUAUCCGAGGUCCUCAGCAACCAGAAGUACAAGGUUUACUUCAAGGCGUACAAGGAGCAGGAUGAGUUUGAGCUCGAACAGCUGAGGCGUCACUGCGAUUGGGUGGGGGGCAUUGCAGAUGUGACGGCUGAAGGGACGCACGACAUUUUUUGUACAGGAGCCUGGGAUAAUUAG